GUUGGCGCCCGAGCCGAAGGCCAGGACUGGCCAACCACGCGAGUAAAAAAAAGUCCAUGGCACUAGUCGUGAACAACAUUUUUCCCUAGUGAUUUUUACUUUUACAAGUUUGGGAAAGGGCCAAUACCAAUCCUCGGACGAGGAAAAGUGCAAGCAUAACAUUCGCUCUCAUCGAGCCCGACGGCGGAAAUCAACACCUAAAAUUGAAAGUUGAAUCCAUGAAAUUCAACUUCACAUCCGGUCGAUUGCUGUCCAAGUGCCGUACCAUACUCACAAGACUGUCGACCCGUAACAAAUACAAAAUCGAUGACCCUUGGGGCAGCAAUCCACUUGAAGAAACGAUGCCAAGAUUUGACAACAUUCCGGUGACAGCAGACAAUCAUUAAGUCAGUUUUGAAAUGUCAAAAUUUUCCUCAGAUAUUUCACAAACAACUUUGCCUCUUCUGGAUGCCCAAGCUGUCGAGAAUGAGCCCUCAGGUCCUUUAACCAGUGUUGGACUUUUAUACAAAACUUCACUGAAAUCUGGGGGAUUCCUGGCGUUUCGCAUUAACACGAUUAAUUAUGGAGAAUACAUGACGGACAAUCCCUCGCUAGAGCUGUCCGAGAAUUCCUGUGUGGAAGAUUAGAUGAAACGUAUUCUGUGAUCGAUCUAUUUUGCCAAGUUACAUUACGUUUACCAUACAAAAAAAUAAGAAAAUGCAUACAUCCUAACAAUAUUAUAUCAGCAGUGAAGUGGUAAAAUGGUUUAAGUCGACAUAUCUCCCAGUUGAAUUUUUUAGGAAUAUUUCUGAAUCUCAGGGA